rnacentral:ncRNA from 1 species
UGAUAGCGAUGAAGUGUGAGGUUGCUGCCGGACAGGCAGGUUUUCCACUGAGCGAAUGUCAAGUUAGGAAACUGGCGACAA